UGUUUAUACAGUAGCCCAGAACGGACAAACUAAACACUUGGGCUGCGUCCAAAAUCGCAUACUACGCACUACAUACUCAAUAUGUGUACUAUCGGACAACAUACUUUUGUUUGAAUAAACAGUAGUAUGAAUCUUUUCAGAUACACACUGAGCAGUAAUUUACGUCAUCACUUCCUGAGAGCCUCCUUGCCAGUUGGAGACGUG